ensembl:lncRNA
UGGCAGCAGUGGGGGGAAAGAGAACCUCUAAAAUCCAUAAAUCAGAUGCCUCUCAAAUUGUGUGGGAUUAAGGAAAAGGUGUGGAAUAGAAAUAAUUUCCUUGGGGGAAACUAUAUCAUUUCAUUUGCCCAGGAAAAUAGUACACAUUCAUCAUGUGUGUCUUCCAGAGACUUUAAAAAGAAUUAAAUGUGGGGUCGGAUUAAAUGAGAGGUCGGAGGAUGCAAUUAUGAGCGUGGUUUCUCUGGGGGCAAAGUGGGAGGAAGAAAUUCCCCUCCUGCCCCACGUCCCAGCAUUUUGUACUUGCCCUAAUGCUGAAGUUCACUGCCUCUGUUGUUGUGUUGUCCCCCCACCCUGCUCCCUAAAAUGCACAUGCAGAAUGAAACACUGGAAUAGGCCAGAUACCAAAACCUGGCAAGGAGCAGCUUAUUAUUAGUUUUUAAUCCAGAUCCCACCCAUUGUGGGAUCCCAUCCAGUGGAAGCAGAAUGUCUCCAUCUGGCUUUGCUGCCAAAGAACGUUUCCACGCCCCAAGCCCGGAGUCAGCCUGCAAUUGGUGGUGUUUGGCAAUGGGUCCGUGGUGACAGUCCUGGAGAGGGACAGGAGCUGAAGCCAGCAUUCCCUGUGCUGAGGUUGGUUUGUUGUCACCCCCCUCGUGUCCUGGGCACACCAUGGAGCCUGAUGCUGGCCUGGGGACCAUGCUGUGCCCCAUCUACAGCUGGCUGGUGGGAUCUCCAUGCAGUGAGGUUGGCAGGACCUCCAUGCAGCGUGGCUGGUGGGAUGUCCAUGGAGUGUGUUUAGCUGGACCUCUCUGCAGUGUGGUUGUUGGGACCAACAUGAAGCAUGGUCACAGGGCACACGGACAGCCCAGAGCCACCUCCCCAUACUGCCACGCUGGAAAAAGUGGGACAAGGAAGGCAAGCAAGAGUGAAGUUAAUGGGACAGAGAUCUUCCAGCAACCUUUCUGAUCUCAGAUGAGGAGCUUGGGCUGUGACGUACCCUGUGAACCAGGUAAGGCGCAUUCAGCAGAACUUGCUUUUCAAUGUACAUAUUAGCAGUAUAUUUGCAAUGUAAAUUAAUAAGUGCCAUCUGCUUACCUCUGAUGUUAUGAGAAUGUUGUCUUGUGACUGGCUACAAACAAGACAACAUUGAAGAGGUAACACCUGCUGGUACAUAUUACUGCAAUUUAUUUUCAAACAUUAGAAGAUUAUUUUGGAUGGGAGAAAUAGGUAUAAUCUCCUCUUGCUGUGUAUUAAGUGCUAAUGAGAGGCACGUGUGUAGAUUGCCAGACGACAUUGUCGAGGAAUAGGCAGUAAGGAUGGAGCAAACGGCAUCUGAGGGCAGCGGGAAGGAAGCCGUACCUCUGCAGCUUGCCCGCAGCUCGCCCCCGACUGCUGGGAGAUUCAAGGGGAUGUUUAGCUGUGAAAAGUCACUGCUUGUCAAGUGUAAAGCUUGCUGUAAGAGUAUCUUGAUUUCAGGCAAAAGUGCCCUGUAGGAAAAAAAAAAGUCGAAACAUCCCUUUUUAGCCUUUGGGGAUGGGACGGUUGAAUUUUCACUUCAAAAUCACAGCCUACUUUUGAAAUGGAAAUUAUUUUAGUACUGAGGCAGAGACAAAAUCUUUCAAUUUUAGCAAAAUAAAAUCUUUUAUUUGACCCCA